UGUUUCCAGUUGGGCGUGCCUUGUAUUAAUUUUGCAUCCUGUCUCUCAGGCCGGGCAUGCACAUGCACUAGCAGCUAGUGUAGGAACAGAAGGGAUGUGCUGAACUCAUCUGUAGCAUCACACACACCGAAGAAUCUUCUUCAGAUUGUACUACUACACAUGUAGUAGCUACAAGGGAAACUAUUACAUUUCGAAUGCCACCAGCCGUAAAACUUGCCAGAAGCUCAUAAUUUGUGGGUCAGGAGGUCCCCAGCUUUAAGAGCCGCUCCCUCAGAACUGACCACAUCAUGUGUAGCGUGGCGUUCAUUUCACUGACCAGCAAUACGAGUAUGACUCGAUCAGUGGUAACGUGACUGUGGAGUGGGAGGGAACAGGGCCAGACAAGUCUAGAUCUCUAAUAUUGUCAGUAAAUUCAAGUGCAAGAUUGACGAUAAAGCGUUGCAAAAUUGCACCAGUCUAUUUACCAUACAAGACUUGGCUAGCGGGAACCACACCAUUACAGUGUACCCUGUGGGUCCAGAGAAUGUGAUUUCGAGCUAUGAGCGUGCAAUUGGCAGAAUUCUCACAUUUGAAAUGUAGUUACUUGCAAUUGCAUAAUGGACCAAAACAGUAACCUCUUCUGGCUGUCUGUAAUCAGUGGACUGGACUACUGGACUGGACUGGACUGGACUGGACUUUGACCUGACUAUUGCAACACCAAUUACAUUCCUUUUCCUCAUAACAGGACCACGAUGACAAAUUAAUGAUUGUAAACAUAAAAAAUAAAAAACACAACAUAGAUAUCUAGCUAUACAUGACUAUUAUAAGAACACAAUGAUAAGCAGCAUUCUUGCUUGCACGACAAUUGAACUGUUAAACAUAGGCUCAAAGUAGGGGAAAUUACACAAACACGGGAAACGUUACAGGUAGAUCUACAGUGAGUAAACAGUUCCCAAGUGUGUGUCUGCCCUUUUCAAAUCCCUCCUGAAACAGCACCUUUUUCAAGUGAUUUUCCUUGUGCAGGAUAACAUCCUUUGUAUCUACUACGACCGGAUCUGAUACAAAUAGCAGGGGGCGGUAUGCUCAUCCGUCUUGUUUGUGGUUUAUAGUUUACUAGAAAAGAUAAGUGUGUAUGUGCAACGGCUUCAUGGAAAGUACGACACGAGUAUGCACACAGAGCAUGCACAUAGACUCGAUCUUUGUACACUAUGAAAGAUGGCAAAUAUUCACUCUCCACGGACAACAAUGUACAGACAAUCAAUGUACCAUUUUCAAUUUAACCUACGUUUGAGCCUAAAAACAACAGUUCUAUAUAUAGAUGCGCUCCAAUUGUAGUUCAAUUAAGCAAGAAUGCAUCAUGGUCCCAACCAGCUAGGCCAGUUACCUGUCCUCCUAUACAGAAAGCUAAUUCCAUCAUGCAAACCUAAAGACAAGCAUUAAUUUUUGUUCUUGCCACAGUAAGUGUUUUGUAAUGUAGCUAGAUGUACAUGUGUUAAGUUUUUACAAUUUGUUAUUGUGGUCUUGUUAUGAGGAAAAGGAACGUAAUUGGUGUUGCAAUAGUCAGGUCAAAGUCCAGUCCAGUAGUCCAGUCCACUGAUUACAGACAGCCAACAUCUUCUUAGGCUGUAUACAUACAGCUGUAUUUUAUAACUGAAUUAGAAGCUGAUGCACGAUACAUUUGAACAUUAUUUUAAGCUGACAUGUAAAAUUAAAUGUUCAUUAAAAACAACAUGUUAUCCAACCAGCCAUGUACACAGUGUAAUACAAUGUAUAUAUAGUAUUGAGUUCUGCAGUGAUAAUAAUAUAGAAUUUUAUUCAAAUAGUAGUAAGCUGUUAAUUCACUGUGACCUUCUCUGUCAUAAACUCUGAUUGCAAUGCCACCAAGUACUUGGUAAUACCCACCCCCAGGUCUCUGAAGCUCAGAGAGGAAAGUGGAAAGUCGCAUUUUGCUUGUUUUCAGCCUUCUCCACCUAAAUAAUGGAAGGUUGGGGGUUUCACGUAAAGCAUGUACCGUGAACAUGUAAUUACACCCAUGCAUGAACUUAAUAUCACAUGUGCAUGCAUGCGCUGCAAAAAGGUUUCUAGAAAACCUAGCUUUCUAUAACACUCUUUCUGUGAUAGUUUGUUACCCUCGAACAUACCCAUGCACUAUUAAUACGGUACUUAAGUAGCAGCCAUAAAAACAAUUGUGGAGCUUGAAAAUGCAUUUGUGCUGUUGGCUAACUGAAUGCAGAUUCGAACUGCUAACUAUAGUGACAUGCGCAGCUAGUCAUUAGAUUCGAGGUAGGGUCGUUUUAUAGCCGCGGCUAUUUUCUGAAAUGUGACCAACUCGCUAUUCCGGCCAAGCUGCACUGUCCCAAGGGUGGCCGGAUUAACGAGAGUCUACUAUAAUUUAUACCUCUUCUAUAUAAUUUAUAACACUCUAAUACCUGAUACUUGAGCGAAACAAACAUGGCGAGAGUCAUAUUAGCACAGCGCAAGCUUGCAUCACUCGUUAAUGACAGUACCUAUAGUAAUUCAUGUAUGUUUUUGAUCCAUGUUAGCCCCUCGGUCCCAGGCCAUUUAAUAUAGAAGUGCCUGGAACUGAGGCUAUAUGCCUGGAACUGAGGCUAUAGAUGCACUGUUACAUUGCAUAUAGACUAUUAAGCGUAUGUACAUUUAAAUUAACAACAAACAAAUUAAACAACACCAUAGUCAUUGUUUUGUGUUACUCACGCAUGGUUACACUGUAGCCAUGGCUUGUAGUUUGGUGGUAACACUGAAACUCGAAAUAUUACAGCAUCGUCUUUCAGGUACUGAUAAUUCUUGUCGGGAUUGUAUAUGAGGUCUGCGUGUGCAAUGAACUUUGCUUUGCCCCAUCCAAUAUCACCCCAUUUAGUUUCCACCACUCUCUGACUUGACUCAUUGUUAAGGAAUUGUAUAUUUGCUUUGUGAUGGUUCUUGUCUUCCAUCUGAUUAAGCAACUCGAAAGUGACUUUUCCUAGAAAUGGCCAUACAAGGGCAUCGUCGUGAUCUCCUUUCAUUAGGCAGGCGUAGAUGGAAAUGUGGGUGCCUUCUCCAGAGCCAAAUCCACCUGCAUGAACACGAAUCAGAAAUUUAUAUCCUUUGUGAGAUGUGCAGAGUAAACCACUAUAGAAUGUAGUUCUGCCAUUUUUGUGCUGUGGGAAAUCAUCCAUUCUAAAUGUUAAUUGCUCCACAUUUUCAUUUAGUUGCUGUGUCAACUCCAGAACUUUGGCAAUUGUGGCUCUCAGGUGAAGCUGAUCGUUUUCCUCGUGUUUCCUGAGGUCUUUGCGUUGAGGUUUCUCUUUACACCCAACCUCAGCGUACUUACAGGGCACACACUCAUACUGGCAGGUGGAUCUAUGGGCGAGGACUUGAUAACGUGGAAUACUAGCUCUACACUUGUAAAUUCCGGCAUUGGGGCAGGGCACACUAAAUUGUUGGCAAGUCUUGAGGUGGGUGCUGGUCCUCUCCUGGUGUUCCCCCAUUUCCUCGCAGUGUGGACACCGGUACUGGCGUCUCGGGCAGUGGUUAGUGAGGUGGUCUUGUUUAUCCUUUCUAUAAAGUUUUACCCUACUGCCGUUCUUUGUACAUACGUUGUCACAAUCUGUUAGAGCGUAGUCGCAUGUGUUUAAAUGCAUACUUAGCGUGCCUAACACUCCUCCGUCCCAUUUGCAGCCAUUCUCCAGAUUAUUGCACCUCACUCUCAGAGCAUUUAUGUAACCAACACCUGCAGCAUAUAUAUAUAUAUAUACAACAUGUACAGUAUAAAUUAUGCAUGAGUAGACUGCAUGUACUAUGUGUACAAAUGCUUACUACUGAACAAUAAUUGCAUAUAAUUAUUAUACCGUAUUACUAGAAUAUUUUGCGGGUGAAAAAUCUUUGCGAAUGAGCUAAAUCAGCAGAAAAUUUGACUCUUUGCGAUCUAACUAUUACGAUUUGGCGAGGAUCAUGUGCAAUAAUUUAGGUUUUGCGAUUUUAUUGUUGCAAAUUGAUCAACCCUCGCAAAAUUCGCAUAUGUUUGUUACUCGCAAAACAUUCUAGUAAUACGGUAGAUCUAUACUUCUUUUAUCUUGGAAGAGACUCUUUAAUUGCUCCUUGCAGUCUGCCAAUGGGCAGGUUUCACUAGUCCUCUGAUACUCCGUUAUACAGCUGUUGCAAAAGAUCUUGCCACAUCCUUCAUCGCCUCCAUGCUGCCGGGGUUCUCUGGCCACUAGUCUACAUAUUUGACACUUGAGAUCAUCUGGGGGAUUUUCUACCCAUUUGCACUUGUAGCCACCAGUUUGAGCUGCCAUGUUGAAACGAGAAUUGCACAUGAGCAACUGCUAUCUGUAGUCCCUUAUAUAGCACACCAACUGAAUGUACACAUUGCUGGGAUCUUCCCUGGGACUACUCCAGUAUCGAUCAUAACUGUUGUCAGCAAGUAUUGUUAUUAUCUAGUUUUGGGACUUUGGGUAACAAUAUCAUCUGAAGCUAUCUGUAUGGAUCUCCACGUUAUUUUAUUCUAACAAUGAUGUGCCUUGAUGUUUGUACCACAGAUCUGCGAGAUGACGUUGGUGCAUCAAUUAAGGGUUCAUAAUUAUAGUGGGGGAGCCAGCAGGACGAGCACCUACCAGGUACUAGCCUCGGUUUCAGGCCGAUUAAAAUACGUAUUUUAAUCGGCCUGGAUUCGAGGCUAACCAGGUAUUGGCUAGCUGCUGCACUGAUGGCUGACCUUCAACAUCGGCGGACUCGUGGAAGAAUGGAAGGUACCCAGCCUAUCAUCUAUGAGUCCAUCUAUGCAUGAGUAUAGCUAUUGGUAUAGAGGUACAGAGGAUUUCAAGUUUUACGUACUUAAUUAAAGUUGAAGUGCAGCCAACCAUGAACCCCUAUUCACACAAAUGCAAUUCCUGGUCAUGGCGUUCAACCAACCUGUACUACACAUUGGAUCCACCUCGGGAACAAUGCAGAUACAUCUAUAGUGUGUAUGUGCACGUGGGGGGGGGGGAGAAUAAGUGAGGGAUGCAGUGAAAUAUAGUAUACACUUACUUAGUGCUGUCACAUGAUCUCCAGUCAAUCAACUUAAGGCAGUUAGGUGACAAUGCUUUAAAUAACUUAAUCACAUGCUAAUCCACACUUUACUUCAUGAAAAACGAGACGAAAUGGAUCAAAUGUAGCCAGGUACAAAAGUGGUGUAACAGGUCAAGCUGUACAAAUGGCAGGUUGUACACAAGGCUAGAGAUCACUUGAGGGCACUAAUUCCUUUAGAACACACCUAGCCAAAAUCACGUGUUUUAAUGCUGGUGCACUCGGAUGGACUCUUGGUUACGUAAUGUAUUCAGCUGUGCCUCGUAUUAAAACACUUAAUCUUGGCUAGGUGUGUUCUACUAUAAUAACCAAGAAGAUUACUCAGAGAAUUAUAUUCUAAAAUGUCUCUAUAUAGACACAAGGUAGCUCAUCAAUGUUGUGCCGGAAACCACACACUACGUAGACACAGUACAUUAGUGAUAUCUCUAUAAUAAUUGGGGCGAGCGUAGCGAGCCUUAACUUAGUGACAACGGUAGGAAAUUUCUCUGUAUGUAUGUUACGUACGGUACGGCCUGAUAGCUGGUUUUUACACACGCGGUCCCUACCAAUUUCGUGUAUUUUGCACAACUGGAGGCAUAAGAAAAAGUUGCAUAAAAUGAAUACUGACAACGAACGCAAACAAGAAAAACUUCGAAUAAGGAGGGAUCGAGAGAGACAAGCAAGAGCCCAAGAAACAGCUGAAGAGAAAGAAGUCAGGCUAGCCAAACGUAGAAGACAGACCUAGCUAUAUCAUUUGUUAGUACAUAAUUAUAUCCCCUGUUCUUAACAGCUUUUCACAAACGUUUAUAUGCUUAUAUCAGCACCUACAGUACUUUCUUUCCCAAUAAGUUCAAACAGGGUCUAACAACAUGCAUCAAAACACCUGUACUGCUAACACGCUCGCCCCAUGACACCUUGUGUCACCCUAGUUUAUAGUUAGUAGUUCCUCACCUUACAAAUGUUAAUGUGGCUGCAGGUAGUAGUGACGGGCUCCACCUCUUGACACACAAUGCGGUUACUGGAUACGACUCAGCAGACAGACCAGCAUGAGGGAGAGAAAGCGUAUCAAUAACCAAGAAGAUUAUAAUUAUUAUGUACAUGCAGUAAUUUGGGGAUUCGGCGAGUUUUCAACCGCCAAUUCAAUUCGGUUCAAAAUGGCCAAAUUGUCCGUAUCAUUAUAGCACUCACUCUGGCAACAUAUUUAUGCAUGCUAGAGUGCGAAUCAUGACAAUACAGACAUAGAAAGCAGUGGAGCCCUUGGCUCUGGGGGCGGUAGUUGUACUGUAAUGUAUGCUGCUGGAAAAUUUUCCUUAACUGGGGAAACAAACAUUUCUUAAUUCUGCUAAAUGCACUCGCUAUACUAAAGUUCUCAACAACAUAAUUAUUACUUAUCAGACUCACCAUGCAGUGCAGUACAAGUUAGCAUUUACAGACAGGGUUGUAUAUAGGUGGCAAUAUUGCAUGGGUUGUGUAUCAGAUCUGUCAUCAUUCCAUGAGACAUGGGACUCAGUGGGUGGGGCAGGGAGCUGUACCAGCUAUGAUGGUGUAAAUAAUCAUUUGCCCUUACUAAUCUAGAGGGCUCGGUGGAAAUAAGUAAUAUGACUGUAUGAACUAUAAUUAAUGUAAGUUGUGAACAAAUUGCAGUUAAAGGCUUAAUUGAUUGCAUGCGACCAUUAUUGAUUUUUAGCAUGACAGAACCCAAUUUAUGUCAGUGCAUGGUGAUACAUGCAGUUGUGACUUAAGUUAUGAUUGUUAUUAAAAUUAAUGGUGAUACAAUUAUAUCUUACCCGAGAAUCCAAUUCAUAUAUAGAUCUAGAGUAUACAUGCAUGUACACUGAUCAGGGGGGUUUAAAGUAAUGAGCGCCAAGCACGUGUUCGUAACUAACCCAUUCCAUGUUUAUUGUUGGAAUGCAUAAUUAAAUUAGCGCUUGUGACACAAUUUUUUUGGCACAUGCAGCGCUUGUAGUUGUAUCAAAGAGUACAGCUAUGGUACUAUCUCUAAAGCAUAUCACCUUUUCCCACUGGGCCCAUUAAUAUUUACAUAAUUAUGGAUAAACUAUAUACUUGCAGUCACUGUAAUGCAUGGCCGUAGAUCUAGGUAUAUAAUUAUAUAUAUAAUUAAGUUAUGCUAAAAUAAUUAUACUAUAAUCCUCUAGCUGAUUCUCUACACUCAAUCUAUAAUGUUCUUGAUAAUUCUCAGUAUAGCCUCGGCAUGAUCCUUGGCUUGCUUGGCCUGCUCAUAGUUGUACAUAUCAGCUGGCACAAUGCCGGAUGGCCAGCGAUUGGGGUAUCUUGGUUUAAGGUAGUAGCUCUCCAAGGGAGUUGUGUGAUUGACUAAUCCAUGCGUCUCUCCAGGACGUUCAGACUGUAGCCCAUGUGCAUGAGUGCUGAUAUUGUGGGUAGUAAGAGCGUUAUCGUCUAACCCACAUACAAAGUACUUGCCUCCUUUGAGAGCUUUCUCUGCUACUUGGUGAGCAUUAAAGCAUACAUCUCCACACAAUUGAGAAUUGUUUCUUGCAUUGUCGAACAGUGUCCGAAGCGAAUCAAAAUUAGCUUCAGCUUGUUUGAGCCAACGUUUUCCUUCAUCAGGCUUAGGCUGAGGUUGUACAUUCUCCUCACCAAAUGGAUCAGACUCGUGCUGUGGUGACGUCCCCCAUCCAGAACUUCCAAAUUCCCUACCCCUCGAAAAUGAGGAAUCACUUGCUCCACGUGCAUUGCUACUGGAUGAGGAGUACUCGUACUGUGUGUGUGCGUGGUGUUCUCUGAAGAAAUUGUUUCUGUGCCUUCUAGCAGUCUCAUUAAGAUCAUCUCUAUGAAACCUUCCAGUACUCCGCGCCUCAAUUUCAGAAUUGAGAAAUUUGAAUACCUUUUCAGCAAAAUCUUGGUUGUCAGAAUUCUUGUCUGGAUGCCACUUGAGGUACAGACGCUUGAUAGCCUUUCGCCGAUCCUCCUCUAACAGCCUCCAAAUAUCAUCCAAUUGCUUUUUAAGAUCACUGAUAACUUCUUCCAAAUCUUUCUCUUGGAGAAUUGUGUGCAAUAGAGUUUGUUUAGUUUCUCCUUCGAACGUUACGGUAUCUUUCUCAGCUUCGUUAACUUUUUUGGGAAAUUUCAGCCCCCUUACAAACUUGUACAGCUCAAGAAUUCCCACUUCAAUUCCUUCAUCAUCCGUUGGGCUUGUGUAGAUUCUGUAUCUCAUGUCCAUACGAUGUACAGAAUCAAGAUUUCCUUCUUUAGGAAGUAGAGGGUGCAUUAUUCGUGCAAAUAUGAUGUGAUCGUCACUAUCUUCAUAGCCGACAAGCUCUCCAGGAUGAAACACAUUGUCAAUAGCUUGGUCUAGUCGAUGGUGCCACUCUGUUGGAAUUUCCUUGCCAAGUUCGACAGAAAGUUUUUUGAUUCGAAUUUCACUAUCUGUGGCAGUGUAUGGAAUAACCUCUUGCUUGAGAACACUGUGCAAUUGAGCAGGAUUUUGAAGCCUCAAAAGCGAAGUAAAGAUCCUGGCCAUCUCUGAGGAAGAAAAAUCAUUCACUUUCGGGUCAAGGUGUUUAAUGAUUUUAAUUAGCUUCUUGGAAAGUGCUCUAACAAUGUCAUCAACACCACUAUCUGGAUCAAUGUUGGAAUCAAGGUACAAGCACAGUCGCUCAUUAGAAUCCUUCUGCUCAUGCUGUAAAUAGAAAGAUAAAUUUUGUUGUCCAAGUUGUGCACCAGUCUCUCUGAAAGUAAUGAGAGUCUGCACCCGCUUAACUGUGACUACAUCAAUACUUGCUACAAAUUCUGUGAAAACAUCAACAAAAUCCUUGACCGUAUCUGUUGCUGCAUUCACAACAGCAUUUAUUACUCUUGGCAGCUCGAUCUUCAUACAUAGUGUUCUCUCCACUUUCUUGUGCACUUCAUUAGGUUCUAUGGGGUGUUUGAAUUCUUGGAUAAUUUUUUGUUCACAUAAUUCAGACAUACCUUUGGGUCUUACUAGUUUUGGAAGCAAUUCACAGAAUUGGCUUUCUGAGAAACCAUACUUAACCAAAGGGGUCAGGUUGAUUAGGGAAUACCCUGUGUUAUCUAAAUUUGUCUUCAAAGCAUGACCAGAAAGACUUGCUGUGUCUGCAUACAACAAUUCUGUGGAAAGUAUCAAUGUGCCUUCAUUUGAUGGAAGAUACAGAGGUGAAAUUUUUUGUGUGUGAUCUGACUCUUUUAAAAACUUAUGGAGACAUUUCAGUGCCUGAACAACACAUGCUUUUGUAUUUUCAUCGAGUUUCUGCCCUUGUGAUUGCUUGUAGGCUGUCUCUAGAACAAGUUGGCAAUGUUUGAUACCCAUACUACUACAAACUCCAAUGCUCUGUAAGAGGCCCAAGAAUGCUGGGUUGAGCUCACUAGGAGCAGAAUGCAGGAAUGGGUGGAGACCUUGAACGGUACAGCUGAGGACAUAGCAAGGUUUCACUAGUACAACCUGCCAACUUUGUGUGUUAUCCUUAUUAGCAGUACUGGGAACAGGGAUGCACGGGAUGUUCUUUAACUGCAUUGAAUAAUGUGUUGACAGCGAAGACAAGUUGUUUUGCAAGAAUGUGAAGUGGCACUUAAUUACUUCCAUUAAUGUUGUAGUACCAUCUUCAGGUGGUGGUUUGUUUGAAGGAGGAUAGUUAUCAAAAAGUUUCAAAUCUGUGAACUUUGCCAUUGAAGAUAUAUUCUUGAGAUUGUUCACAACCUGUUCUAUGGUAGGUUCAAUUGUGAUACCUAAUUGGGUCUUUUUUUGCUCUGACAAGUAGUGGAUUGGCAAUGACACAAUGGGCAUGAUCGUCCAUAAGCACUGUUCAUGACCUGUAAGCAUAGCUGCACCAUUCAUUUUUGUUAAUUCCUCAAUACGUCGACCGGGAUUAGCAAACCGGAAAGGCGAUUUGAUCCAGCUCAGUUGUGGUAACUGCUGAGCUGGUAUGAAGGCAAUAUUUGAUACUUGCUUAUUGAAAUGAAGGUCGUUAGUCCAGCCCUUCUCUGCAUCUGCAA